UACGGGGGGGGCAAGCGUUGUUCGGAAUUACUGGGCGUAAAGGGCUCGUAGGCGGCCAACUAAGUCAGACGUGAAAUCCCUCAGCUUAACUGGGGAACUGCGUCUGAUACUGGAUGGCUUGGAUUUGGGAGAGGGAUGCGGAAUUCCAGGUGUAGCGGUGAAAUGCGUAGAUAUCUGGAGGAACACCGGUGGCGAAGGCGGCAUCCUGGACCAGUACUGACGCUGAGGAGCGAAAGCGUGGGGAGCAAACAGG
rnacentral:rRNA from 1 species